UCCCCCAGUAGCGGCGAGCGAACGGGGAGGAGCCCAGAGCCUGAAUCAGUGUGUGUGUUAGUGGAAGCGUCUGGAAAGGCGCGCGAUACAGGGUGACAGCCCCGUACACAAAAAUGCACAUAUUGUGAGCUCGAUGAGUAGGGCGGGACACGUGGUAUCCUGUCUGAAUAUGGGGGGACCAUCCUCCAAGGCUAAAUACUCCUGACUGACCGAUAGUGAACCAGUACCGUGAGGGAAAGGCGAAAAGAACCCCGGCGAGGGGAGUGAAAAAGAACCUGAAACCGUGUACGUACAAGCAGUGGGAGCCUCUUUAUGGGGUGACUGCGUACCUUUUGUAUAAUGGGUCAGCGACUUAUAUUCUGUAGCAAGGUUAACCGAAUAGGGGAGCCGAAGGGAAACCGAGUCUUAACUGGGCGUUAAGUUGCAGGGUAUAGACCCGAAACCCGGUGAUCUAGCCAUGGGCAGGUUGAAGGUUGGGUAACACUAACUGGAGGACCGAACCGACUAAUGUUGAAAAAUUAGCGGAUGACUUGUGGCUGGGGGUGAAAGGCCAAUCAAACCGGGAGAUAGCUGGUUCUCCCCGAAAGCUAUUUAGGUAGCGCCUCGUGAAUUCAUCUCCGGGGGUAGAGCACUGUUUCGGCAAGGGGGUCAUCCCGACUUACCAACCCGAUGCAAACUGCGAAUACCGGAGAAUGUUAUCACGGGAGACACACGGCGGGUGCUAACGUCCGUCGUGAAGAGGGAAACAACCCAGACCGCCAGCUAAGGUCCCAAAGUCAUGGUUAAGUGGGAAACGAUGUGGGAAGGCCCAGACAGCCAGGAUGUUGGCUUAGAAGCAGCCAUCAUUUAAAGAAAGCGUAAUAGCUCACUGGUCGAGUCGGCCUGCGCGGAAGAUGUAACGGGGCUAAACCAUGCACCGAAGCUGCGGCAGCGACACUAUGUGUUGUUGGGUAGGGGAGCGUUCUGUAAGCCUGUGAAGGUGGCCUGUGAGGGUUGCUGGAGGUAUCAGAAGUGCGAAUGCUGACAUAAGUAACGAUAAAGCGGGUGAAAAGCCCGCUCGCCGGAAGACCAAGGGUUCCUGUCCAACGUUAAUCGGGGCAGGGUGAGUCGACCCCUAAGGCGAGGCCGAAAGGCGUAGUCGAUGGGAAACAGGUUAAUAUUCCUGUACUUGGUGUUACUGCGAAGGGGGGACGGAGAAGGCUAUGUUGGCCGGGCGACGGUUGUCCCGGUUUAAGCGUGUAGGCUGGUUUUCCAGGCAAAUCCGGAAAACCAAGGCUGAGGCGUGAUGACGAGGCACUACGGUGCUGAAGCGACAAAUGCCCUGCUUCCAGGAAAAGCCUCUAAGCAUCAGGUAACAUCAAAUCGUACCCCAAACCGACACAGGUGGUCAGGUAGAGAAUACCAAGGCGCUUGAGAGAACUCGGGUGAAGGAACUAGGCAAAAUGGUGCCGUAACUUCGGGAGAAGGCACGCUGAUAUGUAGGUGAAGCGACUUGCUCGUGGAGCUGAAAUCAGUCGAAGAUACCAGCUGGCUGCAACUGUUUAUUAAAAACACAGCACUGUGCAAACACGAAAGUGGACGUAUACGGUGUGACGCCUGCCCGGUGCCGGAAGGUUAAUUGAUGGGGUUAGCGGUAACGCGAAGCUCUUGAUCGAAGCCCCGGUAAACGGCGGCCGUAACUAUAACGGUCCUAAGGUAGCGAAAUUCCUUGUCGGGUAAGUUCCGACCUGCACGAAUGGCGUAAUGAUGGCCAGGCUGUCUCCACCCGAGACUCAGUGAAAUUGAACUCGCUGUGAAGAUGCAGUGUACCCGCGGCAAGACGGAAAGACCCCGUGAACCUUUACUAUAGCUUGACACUGAACAUUGAGCCUUGAUGUGUAGGAUAGGUGGGAGGCUUUGAAGUGUGGACGCCAGUCUGCAUGGAGCCGACCUUGAAAUACCACCCUUUAAUGUUUGAUGUUCUAACGUUGGCCCGUAAUCCGGGUUGCGGACAGUGUCUGGUGGGUAGUUUGACUGGGGCGGUCUCCUCCUAAAGAGUAACGGAGGAGCACGAAGGUUGGCUAAUCCUGGUCGGACAUCAGGAGGUUAGUGCAAUGGCAUAAGCCAGCUUGACUGCGAGCGUGACGGCGCGAGCAGGUGCGAAAGCAGGUCAUAGUGAUCCGGUGGUUCUGAAUGGAAGGGCCAUCGCUCAACGGAUAAAAGGUACUCCGGGGAUAACAGGCUGAUACCGCCCAAGAGUUCAUAUCGACGGCGGUGUUUGGCACCUCGAUGUCGGCUCAUCACAUCCUGGGGCUGAAGUAGGUCCCAAGGGUAUGGCUGUUCGCCAUUUAAAGUGGUACGCGAGCUGGGUUUAGAACGUCGUGAGACAGUUCGGUCCCUAUCUGCCGUGGGCGCUGGAGAACUGAGGGGGGCUGCUCCUAGUACGAGAGGACCGGAGUGGACGCAUCACUGGUGUUCGGGUUGUCAUGCCAAUGGCACUGCCCGGUAGCUAAAUGCGGAAGAGAUAAGUGCUGAAAGCAUCUAAGCACGAAACUUGCCCCGAGAUGAGUUCUCCCUGAGACUUAGAGUCUCCUGAAGGAACGUUGAAGACGACGACGUUGAUAGGCCGGGUGUGUAAGCGCAGCGAUGCGUUGAGCUAACCGGUACUAAUGAACCGUGAGGCUUAACCUUACAACGCCGAAG
rnacentral:rRNA from 1 species